CAUGAGGGCAGUGAAACCUUGAUGAAGACAGACUCCAUCGAGACUUUGAGAAGGAUGACAGCAACAAACUUUGAGAAGGAUGACAGCCAGAACAAAACCAAGUAGGGAAUAUCCACUGGAGUUGAAGGAAGAAGCCUAAAGCCGGGGACUCUAUCAUUAGAGAAGACUUGAAGGAGAAAGAGACAAGGCAAAUUCCCGGUAAAGGAAACGAUUACACUGCCAGCAGAAACUCAGCAGUCAAGAGACAGUGGCAUCAACACUUUAAAGUGCUCAGACAAAAUAACCGUAUGAAGUGAGAGUCACUGUUAAAAACAUUUGAAAGCAAAUUUUCCAGCAACCAAUGAAUGGAAGCAAUCCAUGCUAAGAAGGACACCAGUGAAGCCCUGUAUGGUAAUGUUACCAACAAACCAGAACACAGACGUCACAGGCUCCUCAUCACUGGACCGAAGAGUUACUCCCACAGGGAAAGACAAUGGGAGGCACUGGGCAAACGCACCUUGGCUGCUACGGUGAGACAAAAACUCUCCUUUCUGCACCUCUUUAAAAUAUGUCUAGAAAAUAUUAGUCAAUGAAAUAUUUGUAACAUUCUGAAGCAUGACUUUCCUGAAUGCAAAAUAUCCAAGACGUGUUUCAGGCUCAGGGCCUUUCCCUUCUGUCUUCUUGGAAUACAGACAGUCAGCAUGGUGUGCUGGUCAUGCUCUUUAGGUCUUUGUUCCAACUGUCACCUUCUCCCUGGAAUUCUAUUUAAAACUGCAACAACCUGGCCGGGCACGGUGGCUCACGCCUAGUAAUCCCAGCACUUUGGGAGGCCAAGGCAGGAUCACCUGAAGUCAGGAGUUUGAGACCAGCUUGGCCAACAUGGAG